UACAGAGGUCUCAAGCGUUGUUCGGAUUCAUUGGGCGUAAAGGGUGCGUAGGCGGCGCGGUAAGUCGGGUGUGAAAUCUCGGAGCUUAACUCCGAAACUGCAUUCGAUACUGCCGUGCUUGAGGACUGGAGAGGAGACUGGAAUUUACGGUGUAGCGGUGAAAUGCGUAGAUAUCGUAAGGAAGACCAAUGGCGAAGGCAGCUCGCUGGGACGGUACUGACGCUGAGGCGCGAAAGCGUGGGGAGCAAACAGG
rnacentral:rRNA from 1 species